rnacentral:tRNA from 1 species
GUGUCGGUGGUGUAAAGAUUAGCAUGUUUGCCUUCCAAGCAGCCGAUCAGGGUUCGCUUUCCUGUCGACGCA